UAGGGGAUCUUCGGCAAUGGACGGAAGUCUGACCGAGCAACGCCGCGUGGGUGAAGAAGGUUUUCGGAUCGUAAAGCUCUGUUGUAAGAGAAGAACGAGUGUGAGAGUGGAAAGUUCACACUGUGACGGUAUCUUACCAGAAAGGGACGGCUAACUACGUGCCAGCAGCCGCGGUAAUACGUAGGUCCCGAGCGUUGUCCGGAUUUAUUGGGCGUAAAGCGAGCGCAGGCGGUUUGAUAAGUCUGAAGUUAAAGGCUGUGGCUUAACCAUAGUACGCUUUGGAAACUGUUUAACUUGAGUGCAGAAGGGGAGAGUGGAAUUCCAUGUGUAGCGGUGAAAUGCGUAGAUAUAUGGAGGAACACCGGUGGCGAAAGCGGCUCUCUGGUCUGUAACUGACGCUGAGGCUCGAAAGCGUGGGGAGCGAACAGGAUUAGAUACCCUGGUAGUCCACGCCGUAAACGAUGAGUGCUAGGUGUUAGGCCCUUUCCGGGGCUUAGUGCCGCAGCUAACGCAUUAAGCACUCCGCCUGGGGAGUACGACCGCAAGGUUG
rnacentral:rRNA from 1 species